rnacentral:rRNA from 1 species
CGUGUAGGCGGUUUCGUAUGUCUGACGUGAAAGCCCCGGGCUCACCCCGGGAAGUGCGUUGGAAACUGCGAGACUAGAGUCCCGGAGAGGAAGGUGGAAUUCCAGGUGUAGCGGUGAAAUGCGUAGAUAUCUGGAAGAACACCGGCGGCGAAGGCGGCCUUCUGGACGGUGACUGACGCUGAGACGCGAAAGCGUGGGGAGCAAACA